rnacentral:rRNA from 1 species
CCUACGGGAGGCAGCAGUGAGGAAUAUUGGUCAAUGGCCGGGAGGCUGAACCAGCCAAGUCGCGUGAGGGAAGACGGCCCUACGGGUUGUAAACCUCUUUUGUCAGGGAGCAAGGUGCAGGUCGGGACCUGCUGUGAGAGUACCUGAAGAAAAAGCAUCGGCUAACUGCGUGCCAGCAGCCGCGGUAAUACGGAGGAUGCGAGCGUUAUCCGGAUUUAGUGGGGUAAAAGGGUGCGCAGGCGGAGGCGCAAGUCAGCGGUAAAAUCGCGGGGCUCAACCCAGAUCCGCCGUUGAAACUGUGUGCCUUGAGUGCGCGAGAAGUAUGCGGAAUGCGUGGUGUAGCGGUGAAAUGCAUAGAUAUCACGCAGAACUCCGAUUGCGAAGGCAGCAUACCGGCGCCCAACUGACGCUGAAGCACGAAAGCGUGGGUAUCGAACAGGAUUAGAUACCCUUGUAGUC